UGAGUCCUGAGGAAGAUGGAACAAUUCAGAGAGACACAAAGAAUAAAACAAGGAAGAGAGUUGCUGCUAUAAAAGAUCUGCUUCAAGGGUUUUAAACAGGAGAUGAGUGUGAAAUAUCUACUACCUGAAGUGCUGAAAAAAGCCUCAUUUGCUGAGGCCACCGACCAGAAACACCUGGAGUGGAGCUGCCAUAGACUUCUGUGUCCAAUCCACUUCUCACAAGAACCACAGCUCGUCUCUUUUACAGAAAAUGCUGUGUCAGCUUGUUCUUUCAGUCUAUAAAUUAAAUCUAGAUCUUCA